rnacentral:rRNA from 1 species
ACACAUGCAAGUCGAACGCAAAGCGUGCCUACGGGCGCGUGGCGCGUGGCGAACGGGUGCGUAACACGUAGCUGACCUGCCCCAAAGACGGGAAUAACGCACGGAAACGUGUGCUAAUGCCCGAUAAGCUCCCCGCGGUUAGAGAGCGGAGAGAAAAGCUGAGGCGCUUUGGGAUGGGGCUGCGGUCCAUCAGCUAGAUGGUGAGGUAACGGCUCACCAUGGCGACGACGGAUAGGGGACCUGAGAGGGUGACCCCCCACACUGGAACUGAGACACGGUCCAGACUCCUACGGGAGGCAGCAGUGAGGGAUAUUGCGCAAUGGGCGAAAGCCUGACGCAGCGACGCCGCGUGGAUGAUGAAGGUCUUCGGAUCGUAAAGUCCUUUUCUGCGUGACGAGAAAGGACGGUAGCGCAGGAAGAAGUCUCGGCUAACUACGUGCCAGCAGCCGCGGUAAAACGUAGGAGGCAAGCGUUAUCCGGAGUUACUGGGCGUAAAGCGCGUGUAGGCGGUUCGGCAGGUCUGAUGUGAAAGCUCCCAGGCUAAACCGGGAGAGGUCAUUGGAAACCGUCGAGCUAGAGGACGGCAGAGGGGCAUGGAAUUCCGGGUGUAGUGGUGAAAUGCGUAGAGAUCCGGAGGAACACCAGUGGCGAAGGCGGUGCCCUGGGCCGACCCUGACGCUGAGACGCGAAAGCAUGGGGAGCGAGCGGGAUUAGAAACCCCGGUAGUCCAUGCUGUAAACGAUGCACACUGGGUGUUCGUGGCGGGAAACCGCUGGGAGUGCCGAAGCCAACGCGGUAAGUGUGCCGCCUGGGGAGUACGGUCGCAAGGCUAAAACUCAAAGGAAUUGACGGGGGCCCGCACAAGCAGCGGAGCGUGUGGUUUAAUUCGAAGCUACGCGAAGAACCUUACCCAGGUUUGACAUCCCGUGAACGACCGCGAAAGCGGAAGGGUCCUUCGGGACACGGAGACAGGUGCUGCAUGGCUGUCGUCAGCUCGUGCCGCGAGGUGUUCGGUUAAGUCCGCAAACGAGCGCAACCCCUGGGGUUAGUUACAAGUGUCUAGCCCGACUGCCCGUGAGAAACGGGAGGAAGGUGGGGAUGACGUCAAGUCAGCAUGGCCUUUAUAUCUGGGGCGACACACACGCUACAAUGGCGCGUACAAUGGGCAGCGAAGGGGCGACCUGGAGCGAAUCUCGGAAAGCGCGUCGUAGUUCGGAUUGCAGGCUGCAACUCGCCUGCAUGAAGUCGGAGUUGCUAGUAACCGUGGAUCAGCCACGCUACGGUGAUACGUUCCCGGGCCUUGUACACACCGCCCGUCACGUCAUGGGAGCUGGUCAUGCCUGAAGUCGGGAAGCUAACC